rnacentral:rRNA from 1 species
UACGUAGGGGGCAAGCGUUGUCCGGAUUUAUUGGGCGUAAAGAGCGUGUAGGCGGCUGGGUAGGUCCGUUGUGAAAACUCGAGGCUCAACCUCGAGACGUCGGCGGAAACCAUCCAGCUAGAGUCCGGAAGAGGAGAGUGGAAUUCCUGGUGUAGCGGUGAAAUGCGCAGAUAUCAGGAAGAACACCCGUGGCGAAAGCGGCUCUCUGGGACGGUACUGACGCUGAGACGCGAAAGCGUGGGGAGCGAACAGG